UACAGAGGUCCCGAGCGUUGUUCGGAUUCACUGGGCGUAAAGGGUGCGUAGGUGGUUAGGUAAGUCCGAUGUGAAAUCUCCAGGCUCAACCUGGAAAUGGCAUUGGAUACUAUUUAGCUUGAGGAGUGGAGGGGGGACUGGAAUUCUCGGUGUAGCAGUGAAAUGCGUAGAUAUCGAGAGGAACACCAGUGGCGAAGGCGAGUCCCUGGACACUUCCUGACACUGAGGCAGCGAAAGCUAGGGGAGCAAACAGG
rnacentral:rRNA from 1 species